rnacentral:rRNA from 1 species
UACAGAGGGUGCGAGCGUUGUCCGGAUUUACUGGGCGUAAAGAGCGCGCAGGCGGUCGUGCAAGUCGCGUGUGAAAGCCCCCGGCUCAACUGGGGAGGGUCACGCGAUACUGCUCGACUCGAAGGCAGGAGAGGGAAGUGGAAUUCCCGGUGUAGUGGUGAAAUGCGUAGAUAUCGGGAGGAACACCAGUGGCGAAGGCGACUUCCUGGCCUGUUCUUGACGCUGAGGCGCGAAAGCUAGGGUAGCAAACGGG